CAGUCCGUUAGUAGAGUAUUCAGCCAGCCGUCCUGUCCCAGUCCGUUAGUAGAGUAUUCAGUCAGCCGUCCUGUCCCAAUCCGUUAGUAAAGUAUUCAGCCAGCCGUCCUGUCCCAGUCCGUUAGUAGAGUAUUCAGCCAGCCGUCCUGUCCCAGUCCGUUAGUAGAGUAUUCAGCCAGCCGUCCUGUCCCAAUCCGUUAGUAGAGUAUUCAGCCAGCUGUCCUGUCCCAGUCCGUUAGUAGAGUAUUCAGUCAGCCGUCCUGUCCCAAUCCGUUAGUAAAGUAUUCAGCCAGCCGUCCUGUCCCAGUCCGUUAGUAGAGUAUUCAGCCAGCCGUCCUGUCCCAGUCCGUUAGUAGAGUAUUCAGCCAGCCGUCCUGUCCCAAUCCGUUAGUAAAGUAUUCAGCCAGCCGUCCUGUCCCAGUCCGUUAGUAGAGUAUUCAGUCAGCCGUCCUGUCCCAAUCCGUUAGUAAAGUAUUCAGUCAGCCGUCCUGUCCCAGUCCGUUAGUAAAGUAUUCAGCCAGCCGUCCUGUCCCAGUCCGUUAGUAGAGUAUUCAGCCAGCCGUCCUGUCCCAAUCCGUUAGUAGAGUAUUCAGUCAGCCGUCCUGUCCCAGUCCGUUAGUAGAGUAUUCAGUCAGCCGUCCUGUCCCAAUCCGUUAGUAGAGUAUUCAGUCAGCCGUCCUGUCCCAAUCCGUUAGUAAAGUAUUCAGCCAGCCGUCCUGUCCCAGUCCGUUAGUAGAGUAUUCAGCCAGCCGUCCUGUCCCAAUCCGUUAGUAGAGUAUUCAGCCAGCCGUCCUGUCCCAAUCCGUUAGUAGAGUAUUCAGUCAGCCGUCCUGUCCCAGUCCGUUAGUAGAGUAUUCAGCCAGCCGUCCUGUCCCAGUCCGUUAGUAGAGUAUUCAGUCAGCCGUCCUGUCCCAAUCCGUUAGUAAAGUAUUCAGCCAGCCGUCCUGUCCCAGUCCGUUAGUAGAGUAUUCAGUCAGCCGUCCUGUCCCAGUCCGUUAGUAGAGCAUUCAGUCAGCCGUCCUGUCCCAAUCCGUUAGUAGAGUAUUCAGCCAGCCGUCCUGUCCCAGUCCGUUAGUAGAGUAUUCAGCCAGCCGUCCUGUCCCAAUCCGUUAGUAGAGUAUUCAGCCAGCCGUCCUGUCCCAGUCCGUUAGUAGAGUAUUCAGCCAGCCGUCCUGUCCCAGUCCGUUAGUAGAGUAUUCAGCCAGCCGUCCUGUCCCAGUCCGUUAGUAGAGUAUUCAGUCAGCCGUCCUGUCCCAGUCCGUUAGUAGAGUAUUCAGUCAGCCGUCCUGUCCCAGUCCGUUAGUAGAGUAUUCAGCCAGCCGUCCUGUCCCAAUCCGUUAGUAGAGUAUUCAGCCAGCCGUCCUGUCCCAAUCCGUUAGUAGAGUAUUCAGCCAGCAGUCCUGUCCCAGUCCGUUAGUAGAGUAUUCAGCCAGCCGUCCUGUCCCAAUCCGUUAGUAGAGUAUUCAGCCAGCCGUCCUGUCCCAGUCCGUUAGUAGAGUAUUCAGCCAGCCGUCCUGUCCCAGUCCGUUAGUAGAGUAUUCAGCCAGCCGUCCUGUCCCAAUCCGUUAGUAGAGUAUUCAGUCAGCCGUCCUGUCCCAAUCCGUUAGUAGAGUAUUCAGCCAGCCGUCCUGUCCCAAUCCGUUAGUAGAGUAUUCAGCCAGCCGUCCUGUCCCAAUCCUAGAGUAUUCAGCCAGCCGUCCUGUCCCAGUCCGUUAGUAGAGUAUUCAGCCAACCGUCCUGUCCCA
rnacentral:lncRNA from 1 species